rnacentral:rRNA from 1 species
AUGUACAUGCCUACAACGUUAAUGCAUCAGAUCCCAUUAUAACUUCACAAUCAAGCACACUUGGGAUAGAGUAUUAUUGGGAUGGGCGACCUCCCGGGAAGUCCUAGCGUUUUACAUU